rnacentral:rRNA from 3 species
GUUGGUGGCAAGAGCGGUGGGGAAACACCCGGUCCCAUCCCGAACCCGGCAGUAAAGUCCACCAGCGUCGAUGGUAGUGCGGGGGCGACCCCGUGUGAGAGUAGACCGCUGCCAACC